CAAUAGCGUAUAUUAUUGAUGUUGCAGUUGAAACGUUCGUAGUCGAACUUUAUGUGCUUGGAUACUAUAACAUCUUUGAUGUGAUAGUGUUUUCAGCACAGUUUCAUAUGGUUGUUUGAUUUGUAUCUUACUUUGAGUGAAUCGGCGUGUUCCAUGCAGGCAUGUGCCUUGAACGAUUUACCAUAGCAUAAAUAGAGUAUGGAAGUAUUUGUUUGCUUGUUCACGGAUAUUUUUGAUACUGACAAGAAUGGUUGAGAGCAUUCGUAUUCAACUGCUAGAGGUGAAAUUCUAUGAUUAGUUGAGGACGAACUAUUGCGAAAGCAUCUGCCAUGGACGUUUCUUUUGA
rnacentral:rRNA from 1 species